UCACCUAAGCUAAUAUUAAUGAUACUAUUGGUGGUCGAUCGUAUUGUGAAGAAGUAGGUUGGUAUAUUUAGUGAUGUGUUCGUGAAGGUAGCUUCUCUAAUAUUACCAACUGACUUUGUCAUUUUCAAUAGUGAGGAAUAUUUUAUUAUCCCUAUCACCAUUGUAAGGCCCACUAUUUCCAUGUGUAGGACAUUGGUUGGCAUAGAGAUAGGAAAGAUAAAAUUUUAGACUUAAAGAGGAACAUAUCACUUUCAAUAUAUGUCAGGUGAUCCGGCAGCUAAAAUAUAUAUAGGUAGUUUAUUUGAUAGACAUCACAGGUGAAGAUAAACUAUUUGUACCCAUUUAGGAGAGUUUUUGUGUUGAAUCAAUGGUGGUAAUGAUCAUAAAUUUUGAUAGCGACAAUUUUGGUGAGCAUGAUGAGAUGGUGAGGGUACUUGUUGGAAGAGUUUCUAAUUCUUAUCCACCACAAAUGUUGGAUCUUAUUUUGAAUAAUAAAUCAACACCACCAACAUUGCAAUCUAUUUAGGAGCCAUUGGUUUUGGAAUUUAAAGCCCUCUUCUCUCAUUUGCGUUAUGUAAUGAGAGGCAAAUUUGUCCCUUAUUUACAUCUAACAUCUUUCUCACUAAAAUGAUUUAAUUAUGUGAUCUUGUAGGAAAUAUGAUGAAGAUGAAUUGAGAUCAAGCUGGAAGAGAAUGAAAAUGGGCAAGAGGAGAAAAAAUUGAGGAUUAGACAACCCUCAGAUCCCGUGAUCGCAGAUAAAAAGUCAAUUAAAAUUUCUCCGACUGUAAUAUGACCACUACAAUUGUGAGAGUCACAAACGCGAUCAAGAGAUGGCAAUCAGAGAAGAGCAAAAAACUUACAAGGGCAAAAAUGGAAUUUUAGGAAGUAUGAUGAAUAUGAUUCGAUAUCAAGCUGGAUGAUAAGGAAAAUGGGCUAGUAGAGAAAAAGUUGAAGAUCAGACGACCCUUAAGUGCCGUGAUCAAACUCUAAGGUUUGCAAUCUUGUUGUAAAGUUAAGUCAAACAUUGGCGAUUGUAAUAUGACCAUCGCAAUUGGGGUAGUCACAAAUGUGAUCAAGAAUUGGCAAUCACAGUAGAGCAGAAUAGUUACAAGGGCAAAAAUAGAAUUUUACAGAUUUGGAUUUGAAAA